GAGUACGGCCGCAAGGCUGAAACUUAAAGGAAUUGGCGGGGGAGCACUACAACGGGUGGAGCCUGCGGUUUAAUUGGACUCAACGCCGGAAAACUCACCGGGGGCGACAGCAAUAUGUAGGUCAGGUUAAAGGUCUUACCUGAAUCGCUGGGAGGAGGUGCAUGGCCGUCGUCAGUUCGUACUGUGAAGCAUCCUGUUAAGUCAGGCAACGAGCAAGACCCGUGCCCACUGUUACCAGCAUAUCCUUUAUGGAUGAUGGGGACUCUGUGGGGACCGCUGCUGCUAAAGCAGAGGAAGGUGCGGGCUACGGUAGGUCAGUAUGCCCCGAAUCUCCCGGGCUACACGCGGGCUACAAUGGUUGGGACAAUGGGUAUCUACUCCGAAAGGAGUUGGCAAUCUCUUAAACCCAAUCGUAGUUCGAAUUGAGGGCUGUAACUCGCCCUCAUGAAGCUGGAAUCCGUAGUAAUCGCGUUUCAACAUAGCGCGGUGAAUCUGUCCCUGCUCCUUGCACACACCGCCCGUCAAACCAUCCGAGUGAGGUAUGGGUGAGGGCACGAACUUAGUGUCGUGCUCGAACCUAAAUUUCACAAGGAGGGUUAAGUCGUAACAAGGUAGCCGUAGGGGAAUCUGCGGCUGGAUCACCUCCU
rnacentral:rRNA from 1 species